rnacentral:rRNA from 1 species
AUGGGCGCAAGCCUGAUGCAGCCAUGCCGCGUGUAUGAAGAAGGCCUUCGGGUUGUAAAGUACUUUCAGUCGUGAGGAAGGCGGUGUCGUUAAUAGCGGCAUUGUUUGACGUUAGCGACAGAAGAAGCACCGGCUAACUCCGUGCCAGCAGCCGCGGUAAUACGGAGGGUGCGAGCGUUAAUCGGAAUUACUGGGCGUAAAGCGCAUGCAGGUGGUUUGUUAAGUCAGAUGUGAAAGCCCGGGGCUCAACCUCGGAAUAGCAUUUGAAACUGGCAGACUAGAGUACUGUAGAGGGGGGUAGAAUUUCAGGUGUAGCGGUGAAAUGCGUAGAGAUCUGAAGGAAUACCAGUGGCGAAGGCGGCCCCCUGGACAGACACUG